rnacentral:miRNA from 1 species
AACCCCAGAGACUGGUGGCUUGG